GACAGAGCCGCCGCGGGAAUACGUAGGGUGCAAGCGUUAAUCGGAAUUACUGGGCGUAAAGCAUGCGCAGGCGGUUAUAUAAGACAGAUGUGAAAUCCCCGGGCUCAACCUGGGAACUGCAUUUGUGACUGUAUAGCUAGAGUACGGCAGAGGGGGAUGGAAUUCCGCGUGUAGCAGUGAAAUGCGUAGAUAUGCGGAGGAACACCGAUGGCGAAGGCAAUCCCCUGGGCCUGUACUGACGCUCAUGCACGAAAGCGUGGGGAGCAAACAGGAUUAGAUACCCCCGUAGUCCCUGUCUCUUAUACA
rnacentral:rRNA from 1 species